rnacentral:rRNA from 1 species
CUUUGAGCCUGCUUGUGUAGGAUAGGUGGGAGGCUUUGAAGCGUGGACGCCAGUUCGCGUGGAGCCAUCCUUGAAAUACCACCCUGGCAUGCUUGAGGUUCUAACUCUGGUCCGUAAUCCGGAUCGAGGACAGUGUAUGGUGGGCAGUUUGACUGGGGCGGUCUCCUCCUAAAGAGUAACGGAGGAGUACGAAGGUGCGCUCAGACCGGUCGGAAAUCGGUCGCAGAGUAUAAAGGCAAAAGCGCGCUUGACUGCGAGACAGACACGUCGAGCAGGUACGAAAGUAGGUCUUAG